ACCAGCUUACACCCAUCUGUUUUUAUAUAGAUUCUAGGAUCUGAGCUCAGGUCCUCAUGCUUUUUGUAACAGGCAUUCUUAUUCACUGAGCCACUGCUCCACCCCUAUCACUGACAUUUAAGAGCCAUUGCCUAUUUAGAAUUACAAUAACUAGCAUAGACUGCAAAAGACCAAAGAGAUGACCACAUAACUUACCAUCCCAAACAGGACACUUUACAGAGUAUGGAGUAAUACUAAUGGUUACACUGAGACAGGGGACAUGAACUCAGAUGACACUGGAACGUAAGCUCUGUGUUAUCUGGGUUUGACAAAGGUCACCAGCUUGGUCCUUCCUUUCUGGGAUGGGAAAAAAAUUUAUCUACCUGAUCUAAACCAGCAAGUACAGGUUAACAUUGUUCAAAGCUUUUUAAGUAAAUAGAUGAAAACAGAGUUCAGAGGUCACCCCUGCCUAGCUGUGUACACCCCUGGGGGAGAGGACAGCUUUGGAAAUUCUAUGGUUUGUGGAAGAGGAAACAGGAGAGACAGGGUGGGGACAGGAGAACAUCAAGAGAAAACAAGCUGGGGAGCUUGUAGGACAUCUUAUGUAAGUGAUGGAUAUAGGUGUGUACCUUUAUAAGCUAAGUCAUAGAAGUCACGUGACUAUUGCCCCUCUCUUACUUCUCAGUACUUUAGGAGAAGAUGGUGGACAUGUUAUGAAGAUGCCCAUGUGUUGAGGACCUGAGGCCUUAUGCUAGGAGCCAUGGGGCUGAGUCAUCAGAAAAUAAUGAAAUUAGACACAGGGGCCUGUCGACAUGAAGAGAGUCUGCUACGCCCCUUUGAACCUCCAUUGGCUCCUGUGUUUCUGAUACGCCAUCUCUGAAACUGGAAAACAGACAGCUCUUUCCUUAGGCACCGUGAAGCCCCAUGCAUACAGUGACACAUACCCAAAUGCUCUUUCCCAUCUUUCUUUGGAGAGAGAUAUCCAUGCUGAAGCUGAAUUUAACUGUAUUUUCAUUUGGAUGACCAGUAUGAACUGGGGAAGAGUGUCCUGGCCAUGUGUCCAAGACCCAACAUGAGGGACUGGUGCUACCCAUAGCCGAGGUGUAUCUUCCUACCUCAAUAAACUAAAUGAAGAACACAUAUGGUAUGUACUCACUAAUAAGUGUAUAUUAACCCAGAAGCUCAGAUUAACCAAGAUCCAAUUCACA